rnacentral:lncRNA from 1 species
UUUUAUAUUUAUACGACAUUUACAUUUGAAAUAUGACAUCUAAAAGUGCACCUACACUCUAGGUUGUCGUUAUCAUGUUCCAAUUUCAAAGAAUUUAUUCUAUCAAUAUUUUGCCAUUAAUAGCUUGAGAUAUAUAGACAUCCGUCAAAGGGUGGUCAUAUGGUUACCCUUGUUUGCAUAUUUUUACUGCCAUUUUGUUUUUGGUGGUUGGAAAAAGGUGGUGGGUCAUUUCCAUAUUUUGGGCUAAUUUUCAUUUUCAAUUUUACCAUUUAUUUCCUUAUAUUACAUUAUUCCACUAUUUAUUUUCCUUUUGGCCCUAUUUUUUAUUUUUUCUAUCCUGUUAUUCUCAUUUAUGGAAACCCUAAUCCUUUUAUACAGAAUAUUGAAAAAUUGAAAAGUUAGUAUCGUUUCAAAAU